rnacentral:rRNA from 1 species
AGAGUUUGAUCCUGGCUCAGGAUGAACGCUGGCGGCGUGCCUAAUACAUGCAAGUCGAGCGGUAAGGCCACUUCGGUGGUACACGAGCGGCGGACGGCUGAGUAACGCGUAGGAACAUACCCCAAAGUGAGGGAUAACUGCUCGAAAGAGUAGCUAAUACCGCAUAUGGUCUAAGGAUUAAAGCUUCGGCGCUUUGGGAAUGGCCUGCGUAUGAUUAGUUUGUUGGUGAGGUAAUGGCUCACCAAGACUACGAUCAUUAGCUGGUCUGAGAGGAUGAUCAGCCAGACUGGGACUGAGACACGGCCCAGACUCCUACGGGAGGCAGCAGUAGGGAAUUUUCCACAAUGGGGGCAACCCUGGUGGAGCAACGCCGCGCGCAGGAUGAAUGCCUUCGGGUUGUAAACUGCUUUUAUAUGUGAAGAUUAUGACGGUAGCAUAUGAAUAAGGAUCGGCUAACUCCGUGCCAGCAGCCGCGGUCAUACGGAGGAUCCAAGCGUUAUCCGGAAUUACUGGGCGUAAAGAGUUGCGUAGGCGGCAUUGUAAGUAGGUAGUGAAAUCCUGGGGCUCAACCCUUUAAACAUUAUCUAAACUGCAAAGCUAGAAUAUGAGAGAGGUCGCUGGAAUUCCUAGUGUAGGAGUGAAAUCCGUAGAUAUUAGGAGGAACACCGAUGGCGUAGGCAGGCGACUGGCUCAUUAUUGACGCUAAGGCACGAAAGCGUGGGUAGCAAACGGGAUUAGAUACCCUAGUAGUCC